rnacentral:rRNA from 1 species
UACGUAGGUGGCAAGCGUUGUCCGGAUUUACUGGGCGUAAAGAGCGCGCAGGCGGUCGUUCAAGUCGCGUGUGAAAGCCCCCGGCUCAACUGGGGAGGGUCACGCGAUACUGAUCGACUCGAAGGCAGGAGAGGGUAGUGGAAUUCCCGGUGUAGUGGUGAAAUGCGUAGAUAUCGGGAGGAACACCAGUGGCGAAGGCGAGUCCCUGGACAAUUCCUGACGCUGAGGCACGAAAGCCAGGGGAGCAAACAGG